AUGCAUCUACACAGAGAGAGAGAACAUUCAUCUACACAGAGAGAGAGAACAUUCAUCUACACAGAGAGAGAGAGAAAACAUGCAUCUACACAGAGAGAACAUUCAUCUACAGAGAGAGAGAGAACAUUCAUCUACACAGAGAGAGAGAACAUUAAUCUACACAGAGAGAGAGAGAGAGAGAGAGAGAGAGAGAGAGAGAGAGAGAGAACAUGCAUCUACACAGAGAGAGAGAACAUUAAUCUACACAGAGAGAGAGAGAGAGAGAGAGAGAGAGAGAACAUCCAUCUACACAGAGAGAGAGAACAUUCAUCUACACAGAGAGAGAGAGAGAGAGAGAACAUUCAUUACUCUACACAGAGAGAGAACAUUCAUCUACACACAGAGAGAGAACAUUCAUCUACACAGAGAGAGAGAGAGAAUAUUCAUCUACACAGAGAGAGAACAUUCAUCUACACAGAGAGAGAGAACAUUCAUCUACAGAGAGAGAGAGAGAGAACAUUCAUUACUCUACACAGAGAGAGAGAACAUUCAUCACUCUACACAGAGAGAGAGAGAGAGAGAGAGAGAGAGAACAUUCAUUACUCUACACAGAGAGAGAGAGAACAUGCAUUACUCUACACAGAGAGAGAGGAACAUUCAUUACUCUACACAGAGAGAGAGAGAACAUUCAUCACUCUACACAGAAAGAGAGAGAACAUUCAUCACUACACAGAGAGAGAGAGAACAAUCAUCACUCUACACAGAGAGAGAGAGAGAACAUUCAGUACUCUACACAGAGAGAGAGAGAGAACAUUCAUUACUCUACACAGAGAGAGAACAUUCAUCACUCUACACAGAAAGAGAGAGAACAUUCAUUACUCUACACAGAGAGAGAGAGAACAUUCAUCACUCUACACAGAGAGAGAGAGAACAUUCAUUACUCUACAGAGAGAGAGAGAGAACAUUCAUUACUCUACACAGAGAGAGAGAACAUUCAUUACUCUACACAGAGAGAGAGAGAACAUUCAUUACUCUACACAGAGAGAGAGAGAGAACAUUCAUUACUCUACACAGAGAGAGAGAACAUUCAUUACUCUACACAGAGAGAGAGAGAACAUUCAUUACUCUACACAGAGAGAGAGAGAGAACAUUCAUUACUCUACACAGAGAGAGAGAGAACAUUCAUUACUCUACACAGAGAGAGAGAGAACAUUCAUUACUCUACACAGAGAGAGAGAACAUUCAUUACUCUACACAGAGAGAGAGAACAUUCAUUACUCUACACAGAGAGAGAGAACAUUCAUUACUCUACACAGAGAGAGAGAGAACAUGCAUUACUCUACACAGAGAGAGAGAACAUUCAUUACUCUACACACAGAGAGAGAACAUUCAUUACUCUACACAGAGAGAGAGAACAUUCAUUACUCUCCACAGAGAGAGAACAUUCAUUACUCUACACAGAGAGAGAGAACAUUCAUUACUCUACACAGAGAGAGAGAACAUUCAUUACUCUACACAAAGAGAGAGAACAUUCAUUACUCUACACAGAGAGAGAGAACAUUCAUUACUCUCCACAGAGAGAGAACAUUCAUUACUCUCCACGGAGAGAGAGAACAUUCAUUACUCUACACAGAGAGAGAGAACAUUCAUUACUCUCCACAGAGAGAGAACAUUCAUUACUCUACACAGAGAGAGAGAGAACAUUCAUUACUCUACACAGAGAGAAAGAUAGAACAUUCAUUACUCUACACAGAGAGAGAGAGAGAACAUUCAUUACUCUACACAGAGAGAGAGAACAUUCAUUACUCUACACAGAGAGAGAGAGAGAACAUUCAUUACUCUCCACAGAGAGAGAGAGAGAGAACAUUCAUUACUCUACACAGAGAGAGAGAGAACAUUCAUUACUCUACACAGAGAGAGAGAACAUUCAUUACUCUACACAGAGAGAGAGAGAGAACAUUCAUCACUCUACACAGAGAGAGAGAUAGAACAUUCAUUACUCUACACAGAGAGAGAGAGAGAACAUUCAUCACUCUACACAGAGAGAGAGAUAGAACAUUCAUUACUCUACACAGAAAGAGAGCGAACAUUCAUUACUCUACACAGAGAGAGAGAGAACAUUCAUUACUCUACACAGAGAGAGAGAACAUUCAUUACUCUACACAGAGAGAGAGAGAGAACAUUCAUCACUCUACACAGAGAGAGAGAGCGAACAUUCAUUACUCUACACAGAGAGCGAACAUUCAUUACUCUACACAGAGAGAGAACAUUCAUUACUCUACACAGAGAGAGAGAACAUUCAUUACUCUACACAGAGAGAGAGAACAUUCAUUACUCUACACAGAGAGAGAGAGAGAACAUUCAUUACUCUACACAGAGAGAGAGAUAGAACAUUCAUUACUCUACACAGAGAGAGAGAGAGAACAUUCAUUACUCUCCACACAGAGAGAGAGAGAACAUUCAUUACUCUACACAACACAAUCUUUAAUGUCUUCUCGUCCUGUCUGUGUUUCUUGUCUUUCCAGAGUCUUCAGAAUGAACAUGGUGAGUGAUCUAUUAUCUACAUACUAUUGA
rnacentral:lncRNA from 8 species